rnacentral:rRNA from 1 species
CGUCUCUUCGAGUGGCUAUCAUGUUUACUGAGCUUAAAGCGUCCGUAGCCGGAUGGGUUAGUUUCACAUUAAAACCGACAUCUUAAGUGCCCGGAGUGUGUGGAAUACUGCUCAUCUUGGAAAAGGAAUAGGGAACAGGUACGCUAUGUGUAAAGGUGAAAUUUUAUAAUCCAUAGCGGACCACCGAUGGCGAAGGCAUGUUCCUGGAACUUGUUCGACGGUCAGGGACGAAGGCUAGGGGAGCGAGCCGGAUUAGAUACCCGAGUAGUCC